rnacentral:rRNA from 1 species
UACGUAGGUGGCAAGCGUUGUCCGGAUUUACUGGGCGUAAAGAGCGCGCAGGCGGUCGUUCAAGUCGCGUGUGAAAGCCCCCGGCUCAACUGGGGAGGGUCACGCGAUACUGAUCGACUCGAAGGCAGGAGAGGGAAGUGGAAUUCCCGGUGUAGUGGUGAAAUGCGUAGAUAUCGGGAGGAACACCAGUGGCGAAGGCGACUUCCUGGCCUGUUCUUGACGCUG